CCCAGAUUGAUAGUAACUCAUAUCUCCAGAUAUCCGAAGAGUCCGAACACUUGGUAGUCUGCCCAAUAUAUCAGGAGUACAACUACUAGGGUUUAAAGCUGAUAUGAAAAUGAGAUUUUUCAGAGAGCUAGAAUAAUUUUUUGGAGGUGCGGGCAGAGUGAUAGAACCAAAGUUUAGAUGCAUGAGUUUUUGCAUCAUCCAAAUAUCAUCUGGUGACUGAUCUAUGUAGCUAGAUGGCAUUUCUAGUGUUUCAAGGUUUAAAAGGGUGCAUAGCAGUGAAGGAAGGCAUUUGAGCGAAGGGAUAUUCAAUUUCAAAUACUUCAAAAGAUAUAAAUUUUCUAAUCCGGGUGGAUAUUGGUCCAGGACUGCAGAACCCAUGUUCAAUACCCGAAGGUGUUUGAACUUUUUACAAAAAUUCUCGCAAUCUAUCAGAGCGAGACGAUCGCUUUCUGAACUGUUAUUCAGAAAAGAUUGGAGACGCGUGUCAGAAUAUUCUAAAGAUAAAAACUGAAUCAGAUCUUCCCAAAUGAAGCACCGUUUAACAUUUGCCAGUGGUUCCCUUUUCCUUUCACGCAUCCAGACAAAUCCCGUAAUCUCUGCCACCAAAGCCAAUGAAGUAUAUACAAUACUUGGAACAUAACACGCUUUGAUUAUGCCUCCGGCUCUUCUCUUACUCACUUGAAUGAUGCCGCGAUGGAUUAGUUCUUUCAAGUAAUGUUCGGCAGUUUCUUCACCGUGGUAUGGUAUGAAACCUUCAGCUACCCACAACUGAUAUAAUUGCCUCGUAGAUAUCUCAAUACUUGGACAGAAGACAUACAAAUAGAUGCAGCAGACUUUCAAGUGAAAAGGUAACUCCAUCACAGAAAAAAUUUGUCUCCAAAUUGUCGGAAUCGCUUCGCCUCGAAAAUAAUUUUCUAAUGGCAUACUUCCAUAGUGUAGGAUGAAAAAUUGCCAGGCUUCAUGCUUUAAUCUGAUCAAUGGUCCUCCAGUGAGCACCGAAUCAAGCCGAAUCUUCUCUCCGUUUUCCAUUUCCAACGACGCAAGGAGGUUUGGAUCAGUGACCAAUAUCAAGACUCUGCUUCCAUUCUGAUUAUCAGGAAGAACUUCUUCAAGAUCAUCCCAUAUCUCACUGUGAUCAAAGACAUCAUCAAGCACAAUAAAGUACUUCUUGUUUGUUAGGAAAUCUCGAAGAACAGAUUUCUUCAAUUGAUAAUGUUCACCGAUAAUUACACUAACCCGAGAUGGAGGCAUCACAGACUUGAUUAUGUCAUCCAAUAUCUUGCCAAAAUCGUAGAGUAUAGAAACCCUGACCCAAGCAAGACAGUCAAAAUAGAACUUGACAUGAUUAUUGUUGUAAGUAUCAGCAGCAAAAGCAGUCUUGUCGAAGCCACUGCUGUCGAGAAUUGCAACCACUGCCAGCCCAGAUGGUCCCUCAAUCAAUAGAUCAAACAACUCCUCUCUGCCCCGUUCAAAUUCACUGAUAUCAAGCCGACGAUGUCCCUCACUCAAUAGGCGAAUGAUUUCGUUACUUUUUUCACGGAUAUCAAAACCAUUGUCGCCGGGUGGAAGUUGUUGCGUCCGAUUUCUAAUAUCAAUGAUUUUAGUGUGGAGUCCAACAAGAAGAGCCAUAUCAGUACUGCUUUCACUUUCGUUUUCACUGUUUUGCUGCUGCAUGAUGUUGAUGAAGAAUGUGUCAAUUGCAUCCUCAGAUUCAUGGACAAAGACAUUGAUGUCCUCCAGAAUUUCCAAAAUAUCUGCUCUUUCAACAUCUUCUUCAUCGCUUUCUUCUAAGUCCAACAGUUGCAAAAAAGGCAAAGAUAUUUUGGAGUCAUCGAAUUUUUCUCUAAUGAGUUGAAACAAAUGCCGAGCCAUGUCAGCUUCAUAUUUUCCCAGCAGAGUAGUAGCAAUAAUUUCGGACUCCGUAAGAAGGUUUUUAAAAAGUGGAGUUAAUUUUGUUGAAUCUGGCAGCGGCAACGUGCCUUCUUCACCUGCUAACACCCUUUUCAACCUCUCACAAAACAGUCGGAGGUGGAAUUCCAGCAUUUCUCCUUCUCUCCGUAGCACUCAGAGGUAUAGCUGAAAGAUUAAACACCAUGGAAGAAUUUGAAAGGAAAAUGCCAAGAAAUUGUGUAAGUGGCUAAAUUCCACAAAUAUGACAUUAUUGCUCAUUUUUUAACUCAAAAAAAGGGUACGCGUUCAUUUAGAGAAAAGUCCAAGACGCGUGCCUUUUGAAAAGAACAGGUAUCCCAAUCGGUAUCCAACCUUUAUCUUAUUUAAUUACUACCAUAACAUAAUUGAUGGUGCUUAAAUCAAUUGUUUCUUUUUUAAUUUAAAGAAUUUUUCAUUAAAAAAAUAUUUUAAUAUCAAAUACCCUUCAAUGGCAUAACUGCCGCAAGCCCAAAAACAGGAUUAAAUAAUUUUUUUUUUUGAAUUUUUGGUCAUGGAAAGAGCAGUAUUAAACAUCAGAAAGCUAAGGUCGUUAUGUUAAAGAAUUGAUAUUGACAUAAUUUUUUUUGGUUUUCGGGGAAAAAAAAAUUGUUGACAAGCAAGAAAAUAUUUUUAUAUUUUACAAUUUAUUAUACAUAUUUUAUCUUAUUAAAGUAAUUUAAUAAUAAAUAGAAACAUAAUAUUACGAUAAAAAAAUUAAAGUUUAACUUAUUUUGAAUAUUAUAAAAAAUAAUUUUAAUAUUAUUAAUAUGGGGACAUUGUAUUAAUUUUAAAAUUUUUUAACCCAAAGGUUUAUUUAAAAUGUUUAUUAUAAAUACAAAUAUAAAAUUAAAUAUCAUAAUUUAAAAUUUUUAAUAUUAUUUUAAGUAUUAAAAAUAUUUUAAUGUUAUUAGUCUACUACAUAGAUCAUAUUACUUAUAUAAUAUUUGUAUUAUUAAAAAUUCUUAAAAUCAAAUUUUUAGUUAGUAUAUUCAUGAGGUAUUAUGGUUAAAAAAAAAAAGACCUUAUUGUUACUUUUUAAAAAAUUGAGGGCCUUCGUGAUAAUUUUUUCAAAAAGAAAAUACUUGGUAUCUGGGAGGGAUAGAGAAAUAGGACUCCCAAAAUCUCUCACCCUUUUUUAAUUAAAAAAAUUAAAAUAUCAAUAAAAAAUAAUAAAGAAAAUAGAAUUUUAUCUACUCCUUACUUCAUUUUUGCAACUCUCUCACCAUCUCUGUCGAGCAGCCCUCUCUCUCACUCUCUCACUCACACAGUCUUUUUCACGAUUUGAAAUUCUUUGGCCCUUUGCAUUACAAGAAAUUAACGCUUUGGUUCUCCCAAGGGUAGAUUGGUUUUAUUGGGAAGCUAUUAAUUAGAAGGAGGAAAAAGGACUAUAUUUAGAAUAUGAUUUGUUGGAGAAUCUCAGAGUUAGUCAAUUUUCAAGCCACACUUUCAAUAGCCAACUGAUUUAGAAACCAUUAAUUACUUUAAUUUCCAUAAAUUGUAAUGACAGUGCAAAUGCAUCUGGUUGUGAUAGCUAAGGGUUAGCUUGAAGAAUUAAAUUUCAUAAGAUAUUACUGGAAAACGCUUUGCAGAUAACGUGUUGCUUCCUUUGCUAGGCUACAAUUUCAAAAUUCUCACGAGUUUUCCAUUGUUGUCACAAACCGAGAAAUUAUAAAAUACAUGGCCUGGUUCUUUGGCAAUGACCAUCUCAUCGUCGGCGGUCGCGUCGUCAUUGUCACUGGUCUUGCUGGACCGAGACAGUGAGAGAGAGGUUUGUUAGAUGGAGUUAGUGAGAGAGAGUUGUAAAGAUGGAAUGAUGAUAAAGGAUUUUAUUUUUUUUUAAUUGUUUUUAUUAAUAUUUUAAUUUUUAAAAUUAAAAUUUGCUGCCGUUUCUCUCGACUCUCAUAAUUUAUUUCAUUUUUAGGGAAUCCAAUGAGAAAUAUGAUAAAAGAACGUCAAUUACUUGUCAUUUUCAAUUUUUUUCUAUAAGCUAUUUAUUUCGAGCAUUAGUGAUCUUGUCUGGCUACUCCAAUUAUUGACGUAACUCCAGUGGCUGCAUCCACUGGAAAAAGUGGAUGAGAACCAUUUUUUUUUCAUAAAGGUAACUGCUCCAAUUAUUGACAUAAUUGAUGGUGCUUAAAUCAAUUUUUUUUUUUAAUUUAAAGAAUUUUGCUUUAAAAAAUAAUUAAUAUCAAAAUGCCUUCAAUGUUGUUACCGCCACAAGCCCAGUUAGAGGACUCAUUAAAAAUUUUAGAAUUUUUAGGCCUGGAAAGCGUAGUAUUAAACAUCAGAAAGCAAAGGUUGUUAUGUCGAAGAAUUGAUGUCGACAAAAUUUUAUUUUAGUUUUCGGAAAAAAAAAUAUUUUGUUGACAAGCAAGAAAAUAUUUUUUAUACUUUACAAUCUGCUAUACAUAUUUUAUCAUAUUAAAGUAAUUUUAAUAAUAUAUGGAAACAUAAUAUUAUAAUAAAUAAAUUAAAAUUAAAAUUACUUUGAAUUAUUGAAUAUUACAAAAAGAUAAUUUUAAUAUUAUUAAUAGGAAAACAUUUUUUAAUUGUAAAAUCUUUUUAAUACAAAAAAUCAUUUAAAAUCUUUAUAAUAAAUACAAAUAUAAAAUUAAAAAAUAUCAUAAUUUAAAUUUUUUAAUAUUAUUUAAAUAUUAAAAAUACUUUAAUAUUAUUAGUCUACUACAUAAAAUAUAUUAUUUAUAUUAUAUUCGUAUUGAUUAAAACGUUUUAAAGUCAAAUUUUUAAUUAGUGUAUUCAAAGGUAUAAAAGAUUUUAGUAUUAUUUUUUAAAAAAUUUCAGGAUAUGAAUGAUAAUUUUUUUCAAAUUUUAAAGAUGUAAGAAUCUUUUUUUCUGAUAACUUAUUUCACUUUUGAGAGAAUCCGAAAACGUUAAUUUAACAUUCUUUACCUUUAUCUUUUCAAAAAAAAAAAAAACAUUCUUUUUUUGAUAAGAAUGUUUUUUUUUUCUUUAAAAAAUAAUUAAUAUCAAAAUGCCUUCAAUGUUGUUACCGCCACAAGCCCAGUUAGAGGACUCAUUAAAAAUUUUAGAAUUUUUAGGCCUGGAAAGCGUAGUAUUAAACAUCAGAAAGCAAAGGUUGUUAUGUCGAAGAAUUGAUGUCGACAAAAUUUUAUUUUAGUUUUCGGAAAAAAAAAUAUUUUUUUACCUUUGUGAAAAAAGUGAAAAUCAAGAACUAUUCAAUUUUGUUUUUAUUUGUAAUUCAAAAACUUUAUUCAUUUUUGGAUGCUUUUCAAAAGAGAUUCCUUUAAAUCCUUUUGGUGUCUGCAGCUCCUGCCAUUCUCAUAAAUCUCCAUCCCACAUCUACACUAUCAAACAAGUUGAUGGAAAGUCUUAUAAAAAAAAAAAAGUUGAUGGAAAUUGAUCAAUUGCUUUUUGAAGUGGACCCAUUGAGUCAUGUUCAUUUCUGAUCAUUGUCUACUCUUUCUAUCAGCCAUUUAUUUUGACCAUUUGCGAUCUUAUCUGGACCUACUCCAAUUAUUGUUGGAACUCCAAUGGUUGUAUCUACAGUCGAAUGUAAUAUAGUGACAGCUCUUUCUUUGAGAAACUAGAGGGACCUUACAGUUCAUAUAAAUUUCGCUACCUUACAGUUCAUACGGUCUUGCUGUUAAUGAAUUUGCUGAGGCAUUAUUGAUCCAAUCUGAGUGAAGUAAUUGUGGCUGAAAAAUAAAUAAAGGAUAAGAGAACGUAGCUGAAGUGCUGAAGGGGCUAUUAAAGAAGAGUGUCACUUGAUCACAAUCACAUUGAUGCACAAUUCACUUGGCAAAUUUCGACUAUGCGUACUGCAAAUUCAGCCAAACCAUACAUGCAUGAACAAAACUAAAAUGUAGUUCUAAUCACAACUGCAGUUAUGAUGUUUACCCCUCUGAUUUUUCUCCAAAACAAAUUCAGUUCAAAACAAUAAUCAAAAUAGCCACAUUUUGUUCGUCAAAAUAAAUGCCCAAAUUUUCAAUUAACAAAUCAUCUUCUCUAAACUAAAAAGCCCACAUCUCUAAAAUCAAUCUACAUAAUGUUGGACAUGAGGGGUGAAUUGUUAACUCAGUAAAAAAACUCAUGCAUAAUAUUACUAAUAAUAAAAAAUAUAUAUUAAUCAUUAUAAAGAAUCAUAAAUUAGAAAAAUUAAUCAUUUUAUAAUUUAUUACACAAGUAAGAUAAAUCUCAUAAUAAGUUAUAACAUAAAAAAAACGUUAUCAAUAUAUAAUCAUUUAAGAAGUCAUUUAACAAUAAAAUCGUUCUUUGAUCAGUUGGUCAUGUCACAUAAUAUCAUCUAUAUUUAUGGUGAUAAUAUUAUUACUCAGUAUUCUCAAAAAACAUGAUUUAACAUUUAGAGGAAAUUCUUGCCUUUUAAAAAAAACAUGUAUGCAACAGCUACCCAUGCUUUAUCUUGCCAUGACAAAUAUUUUCUCAAUGAAAGAAAUUUUUUUAAAAAUUGAUUUAAUGCACAAAUAUGAUGAUUUUUCCAAAAAUUAAUUUUGGAAAAUAUAGUGAGAGAAAAUAGUGACGAUUAUUGUUUAGAUGUAUAAAUAGCCUAAACAUAAUCCUUAAUACCAAUAUCCAUAUGCAUCUUAUCAUCUUUCAUGAUGUUCUUUCAUUUAUGUCCAUUGGUUCAAGAUUUGAAUUUGAUCAUUAAAUCAUGUUCAAUAAUAUUAGAGAUUCCAACAAUUGAGUACCAACUUAAAUCCCAAUGUUAUGUGUCAUUGACCAAUUAUGUGUCAGUGACCAAUUUUGUGUCAUUUUGUUAUUAACUAGGUGAUGAAUUUCUAGUUGAUAAAAUCACUUAAAAAUAUCUUAAAAAUUAGACAAUAGUUUGCUUAAUUUUUCCAAGUUAACUGCUCAAGAUGCUCUAUUAUAAAUGAUAACCUAAUUAUAUUCAUAAAAAAUGAUAUAUUUUUUUGUGGUGUUGAUAAUGAGAUUAUCAUUCAACGUUUUAAAAUGUGAAAACAUAUGGAAGACGGUUGUAAAUUGAUUGAAUGAAAAUAUUUCAGUGAAGUCUCAAAAAUUUGGUACUUGUUGUCUUAUCGAAAGUUUUCUAAAUUAUAUUCGUGGCACAGCCACUAUCCAAACCAUACAAGUCCAAAGCUAUCCAAACCAUACCUGCAAGUCCGGGGCUUAAAUGGAGUACUUCUAAGCAAAAAAACAUUGAUUAAAAUAGAAUAUAUACAUACAGACACACAUACAUACCAGCAUAUUCAAAAUAGCAAAAGGAGUGCAAAAGUUCAAGUUUGUAGACAACAUUGCAACCAUAGCAUGUUUAUAGCAAAUCCUCAAAAUCUGCUAAAUAAAACAAUGCCCUGUCUCAUGAAUCAAUGCUGAAUUAAAAUUGAAACUGAAAGUCUGGAUGGUGUUGUUUGUUGAGAAUGUCAAAUAAAACGGCAUUGAAGGAAGUUUUCAAAGGCAGAAUCCGCACUUGUCAAAGACACGAUCCGCACCGAACGGAUCGACACAUUUCCUUCCGUAUUCACAUAUGUAAUCUUUGAAAAAAUGUAGCUUCUGCAUCUAUAAAUAACGCUCAGUGUAUAAUGUUUUAUUCAAGAAAUAAAAACAAGUUUCUACAUGGUAUCAGAGUCAUGAAUGCGCUCAAGUUUCUUCAAGUUUCGCUGCUCUGUUUGUCACAAAAACAGAGGAAACCAAAUUCGUCCCACAACCAUUUUUUCCACCAUUUUCUUCCUUAAAAUCAUUCCUAACAUUACAGAAAUCCAUGCCGAUCAAAAAACAUGAAAGACAAAUUACACAUGUGCAGUAACCAAUGAUCAUAUUUCGUUACUGUCAAACACAAUGCAUCUGAGCAAAACAUUGGAAGCCAACACCAGAAUACAUAUGAAUAAACAAUUAAAGAUAGAGAAAAAAGGCUUAAACCUUGGGGGAAAAAAGUGAAAAAACAUGAAAGACAAAUUACACAUGUGCAGUAACCAUCGAACUUAUCAGUGACAGCUGCAUCCAUUACAUUGCUCCAACAACACAAUGGCAAACCACCAGUUUCAAAUUGAGGAUAGCUAUCGAGAAUGAGAAAGUGUCCAAAACAUCAUAAAUAGACAUGUUCCUAUUGUGCAUAAUUUACAUUAUAGGCAAAUAUUCUUAUACCAUCAAAGGCAAAACAUGACACUAACAAUUGAUCCCCCCCCCCCCCCCCCCCCCCAACAACCAAAAAAAAAGGAAAAACAAUACAGAAAAGAUUGAAACAGAUAAGGCUACACUGAGCACAGGAUGCCAUGAAACAUAAUCCAGGAACCAAAUUAAUAAAAAAGGAAGCCAAACCAUUAUUUAACAAUCUGUUUUGUAUUUGGGAAAGUCUGAUAAAAUCUACUUAGGGAUAAUUAGAGAACUUCAACUAUUAAUCACACCUCAUAAAUGAACUAACAUUAACCAUCUACCAUCCCCACGUCACACAAACAUUCUCUAUACUUCUGAACCUAAUACUUCCAUCUUCAAUUGGGGGUUUUUUUUCUUUUUUUUUUUGGGUGGGGGGGGGGGGGGGGGGGGGGAAGCUAUCAAUUUUCUAAGCUUGCUUAGCUUCUGUGUGGGAUUGAAAUGCUGAUUUCGAAUCACUAACAGUAAAAUUGGAAGCUCAUGAAAAAACAGUUUUAUCUCAAAAUUACAUCUCGAUAUAAAUUCUCUUUUCAUUUCCUUCAACUUUCUAAUUAAGCUUAAAAAAUGUACCUUCAACCACAAAGGGGUUUAAAAUUUAAAAUAUAAAAAAUAAAUUCAGAUAACAAUAAUUAAUUUAAUUAAAAAUAUAAAUAGAGUUACAGAGAAAGAGAAAAUAGAGAAAGACCUAAUGUUGAGUCCUUUGGCGCAUGUCUCUUCAUAGGUCCGAACCAUUUCUUCGGGCGUGGGUUACGGCCGAGAUUGGAUAAUGAUGGAGUAGGAUAAGAUUAGCGAUAACGACGCCGAUGAAAUGGAAGGGUUUACCAGAGGAGUGGAUGCGAAGAGUGCAGGGACCGCCGCAGAGAGAGAGCGGCGGAGAGCGGCGACGGACGGUAGUGACCAGCGGAGGCGGAAGAUGGCGGUAUGGGCCAUUGCUUGCGCGUCGGUGAGUGUCUCGAGUGAGAGAGUGAAGGGUUUUGGGAAAUGAAAAAUGCAAAUGUUUGAUUUUGUUGCUAGAAACUUCUUCUGCCGCUGCCUUUUAUUUUCGCUAUAAUAAUAAUAAUAAUUUGUUAAUCAAAUAUUUUCUUAAAAAAGAUAAAUUUCUACAAGAAAAUUUAUAUUAAAUCAAAUUGUAAAAAUGUCUAUUAGGGUUAAUUUCUCCUUAAUAUUAUUAUUAGUUGAAGUAGAUUUUCGAAUUAGUCUUGAUAUAUUUCAGAGUUGUAUUAUAAAUGUAUAAGUAUCUGGAUUGCAAUUAUAUUUUUAAAAAAUAUAAUUUUUUUAAUUAUUGCACAAUAAAUGUAGAUAGUAUCUAUAAAAUAAUAUUAUUAGGACUAUGAAAAAAAUAUUAUUUUAGAGAAGUUAUUUAUUUAUUAUUGAAUGAAUAAUUUAUUAACUUAUUGGUAAAUGAAUAUUUACUAAUUUAAAGAGAGAUUUUUUUUUUGAUUUUAAGAAGAGUUUUGUUGGUACAUAUUCAUACUUAUAAAGAAACACAAAAAGUAGUUCCUCAAGUCAAUUGUAUUUGCUUUAAUUCGUAAUAAUAUAUCUUAAUCAAGAAACUUGUAAUUAUACUAUAUCUUUCUUUCUUUGUUCAGUUUGGUGGUACAUUGUGAUAAAUCAUUGGAUUAAAAUGCAUUUCUAAAUGAAAACUUGUUAAAACCUAAUUUAUUUGGGAACCAUAUUUUAUUUGUCAGUCGUAUUUCUCAACUUAGCAAGUUAUUUCUAACUUAUCGGUCUCUAUUGGUUUUCUUAAGUGCCUGUUUGAUAUGACUUAUUUAAUGGCAAUAAGUGCUUAUUUAAUCUCAUAAGCUCUUAUCAUAAUUUUUGUUAUUGUUUGGUUGUUUUUCUAAUAAAGUUUUUGAAGCUUAAAUAAGUAAUUUUACCUCUCUUAACAAAAGCUCAAAUUUUGAGUUUUUUGGGAGUAGAGAUUGAAAAACUUUUUCAAAUGUCAAAAUAUCUAUAAUAUCCUCUACUUAUUUAACAAUCUUAUUUAUUAUUUUCAUAAUAUAACUUUAAAAGACUUGUCUAUUAAAGUAAUUUCAUAAAUUUUUAAUAAAAACUCUUAUUGACAACCAAACAACUAAUUUUUUUUAGCAAAACCUCUACUUAAAUAAGUUCUACUUGAAAAACUGUAUCAAACGGAGCUUAAAGUUAAUAGUCUCUUAUCUCCCACAUUUGAUAUCUUAAUGGUAUCAGCGUGUUACCUAAGAUUGGGAUUCAUUAAAAUCCUCAAUGUAAUCGGUGGAAUGAAAUGGAUUUUUAUAACCUCCUUGAAGGUUUUACGAUAAACAUAAAUCUAUUGACAAAGUGGGCAAAAAGAAAAUGCAUAUAAAAAUAUGAGUUAUCAGAUAAGAUUAAAACUCACCCAAUUCAAUCCAUCAGAUUCCGUAAGGAUAUAACUGGAUGUCAUACCGCCACUCCAUAUCCUCGAAAGUCCGUAGUCCUUGUCUCAACUGUGUCUGGGGCCAGUGUAAGUCCAAUUUGCGCAAGCUCUUUAUGCACCACAGCUCUUCUGGAAGCUUUCUCAAGUAAGCACAUGGGUUGACAAUUAAGCUUUCAAGUUUCGGCAUUGCUCCAGCCCCCAUCGUCCACUCAUCUAGCCAAUACAUUGAUUUCAAGUGCAAAACCUUAAGUUCGGAAAAGCUACUCAAGCCAACACAAGCAAGCUUUCUUCCUAAAUACGAGUUCUGCUUCAGUUUCAGCACUCGAAGGCAUGGAAGAUUUUCCAGAAUUGGCAUGGGAUCCUCCAUUAGCUCAGUAUUUGAUAAGCUCAGUUGGAUCAGACUUGGGGGAAAUUGGUAUUCAGACAGGACAAUCCGUGAGGGCUUGCUCUCAUUCACCAGCUUCAAGCAUUCAAGUUUGUGGAGUUCGCAAAGGCUUUUGGAAACCCCAGAUUGAUAGCAACUCAAAUCUCCAGAUAUCCGAAGAGUCUGAACACUAGGUAGUCUGCCCAAUAUAUCAGGAGUACAACUACUAGGGUUUAAAGCUGAUAUGAAAAUGAGAUUUUUCAGAGAGCUAGAAUAAUUUUUUGGAGGUGCGGGCAGAGUGAUAGAACCAAAGUUUAGAUGCAUGAGUUUUUGCAUCAUCCAAAUAUCCUCUGGUGACUGAUCUAUGUAGCUAGAUGGCAUUUCUAGUGUUUCAAGGUUUAAAAGGGUGCAUAGCAGUGAAGGAAGGCAUUUGAGCGAAGGGAUAUUCAAUUUCAAAUACUUCAAAAGGAAUGAAUUUUCUAAUCCGGGUGGAUAUUGGUCCAGGACUGCAGAACCCAUGCUCAAUACCCGAAG
rnacentral:lncRNA from 1 species